rnacentral:rRNA from 1 species
GACGAACGCUGGCGGCGUGCUUAACACAUGCAAGUCGAACGGAAAGGCCCUGCUUUUGUGGGGUGCUCGAGUGGCGAACGGGUGAGUAACACGUGAGUAACCUGCCCUUGACUUUGGGAUAACUUCAGGAAACUGGGGCUAAUACCGGAUAGGAGCUCCUGCUGCAUGGUGGGGGUUGGAAAGUUUCGGCGGUUGGGGAUGGACUCGCGGCUUAUCAGCUUGUUGGUGGGGUAGUGGCUUACCAAGGCUUUGACGGGUAGCCGGCCUGAGAGGGUGACCGGCCACAUUGGGACUGAGAUACGGCCCAGACUCCUACGGGAGGCAGCAGUGGGGAGUAUUGCACAAUGGGCGGAAGCCUGAUGCAGCAACGCCGCGUGCGGGAUGACGGCCUUCGGGUGGUAAACCGCUUUCGCCUGUGACGAAGCGUGAGUGACGGUAAUGGGUAAAGAAGCACCGGCUAACUACGU